rnacentral:lncRNA from 1 species
UCUGCCCUAUAGCAUGCAUCUGUCUAUUGGAGCUGGUUAGUAUGUCUAGGUAAUCGAGUCAAACUUGGCUUUUUUUAAAUGUAGCACGUAGUAAAACUGCAUAAACCUAAUGUCAAGUUAAAGUGUAUUGUUAGCUAGCUAACGUUAGCUGGCUGGCUCGCUAGUUGCUAACGUUAUGUGUAUGCGCUCCACUUUCUGGAGGACCGAGUUUUGAAAUCAGUGGAAUUCGAGUAUGAUAGCUAAGGAGAUGGAGAAAACACCAGUCUGGAUUACAUCAUCAAACUAAGGGCAACCAUGCAUGGCAUCAGACAGGAGACGCGUCCAACCAUGAUGUAUACUGAUGUCUGGAAGUAGCAGGCAAGUUACUACAGAAUACACGGAUCAACCCUUAAAGAGAUGGGUGGGGCUAAGGCUGAAGAGGGUGUGAACAAUGCUGAAUGGGUGUAGACAAAGAAGGGCUCUCCAAUAGUAGUACCAAAACAUUGAAAGACGGUUUUCUCAAAAGGCCGGGGGGUGAGACAGGGAUGCAGCUUAAGCCCCAGCAUCUUCAACGUAUAUAUCAACGAAUUGGCGAGGGCACUAGAACAGUCUACAGCACCCGGCCUCACCCUACUAGAAUCUGAAGUCAAAUGUCUACUAAUGGCGGUGGAGGGGAUUGCUACCGUUUUCACAGGCUCCUAACCAACUGUGCUAUUUUGUUUGUUUUUUCGCUUUGUUUGUAACUCAUUUUGUACAUAAUGUUGCUGAUACCAUCUCUUAUGACCGAAAAGAGCUUCUGGGCAUCAGAACAGCGAUAACUCACCUUGAACAGGGUGCCUUGUAAGAGUUUGCACUCCCUGUAGGCUGACUCAUCAUUAUUGGUAAUCAGGCCUACUACUGUUGUGUCGUCUGCAACCUUGAUGAAUGAGUUGGAGGCGUGCGUGGCCACGCAGUCAUGGGUGAACAGGGAGUACAGGAGGGGGCUGAAAACACACCCUUGUGGGGCCCCUGUGUUGGGGAUCAGCGAAGUGGAGGUGUUGUUUCCUACCUUCACCACCUGGGGGCGGCCCAUCAGGAAGUCCAGGACCCAGUUGAACAGGCAACUCUACUCCCACUUGUCUCCAAUUCCACAUCCUAACCCUCAGCUUCCCUCAGCCCCUCCCACCUAUCUCUGCUAGCCACCCUCUUCGGAUUUCUACGCAACAUAUAUCUUUCAACUAUGCUGUGAUGUUUAACGUACAAUUUCAAUCUUUCUAAUUGAAUAGAAUCCACAGAUUGCAAGUUGAAGAUUAAUACCUUUACUAAGGGUAUUAGUAUAUUAGUAAUUGAC